UCAUUUGAUGUGGAAAAAUUUGAACAUUUGCUGCUUUAUUAAGACGUUUUCAAUGCAAAAGCAUCGCACAUUCAGCUGAUUGAAUUUUCCGGAAUGCCGUAAAAGUGUAAAAAAAAAAUCAAAAGCUUUUAAACAAAUGCGAACACAAACUUUUAACAAACAAUUUGAUUUUCCCACGCCCAAAUUAUUUGGCGUGAAAGAAACAAGGCCAAUAUUGGAUAAUGCAAUGACGGCACUCAGCAAUAACAAAUCGUUAGCAACACCAAUGAGAAAAAUGACAAAUAAAAAAAAACAGUUCGCAGACAAUGGAGGCUUCUAAAAUUAAACACCGGCUGUUGUAAAGUCAUUUAGCCCUUUUCACUACAUAAGUAAAAUUU